rnacentral:rRNA from 1 species
UACAGAGGGUGCGAGCGUUAAUCGGAAUUACUGGGCGUAAAGCGCGCGCAGGCGGUUCUUCAAGUCAGAGGUGAAAGCCCAGAGCUCAACUCUGGAAUGGCCUUUGAGACUAGAGAACUAGGGUACGGGAGAGGUGAGUGGAAUUCCGAGUGUAGAGGUGAAAUUCGUAGAUAUUCGGAAGAACACCAGUGGCGAAGGCGGCUCACUGGCCUGUUCUUGACGCUGAGGCGGCGAAAGCUAGGGGAGCAAACGGGG